rnacentral:rRNA from 1 species
CCUACGGGAGGCAGCAGUAGGGAAUCUUUCACAAUGGGCGAAAGCCUGAUGGAGCAACGCCGCGUGCAGGAUGAAGGCCUUCGGGUUGUAAACUGCUUUUAUAAGCGAGAAAUAUGAUGGUAACUUAUGAAUAAGGAUCGGCUAACUACGUGCCAGCAGCCGCGGUCAUACGUAGGAUCCGAGCAUUAUCCGGAGUGACUGGGUGUAAAGAGUUGCGUAGGUGGCAUAAUAAGUAGCUAGUGAAAUCUGGUGGCUCAACCAUUCAGACUAUUAGCGAAACUGUUAAGCUCGAGACCGUUAGGGGUAACUGGAAUGUCUAGUGUAGGAGUGAAAUCCGUAGAUAUUAGAAGGAACACCAAUAGCGUAGGCAGGUUGCUGGGACGGUUCUGACACUAAGGCACGAAAGCGUAGGGAGCAAACGGGAUUAGAUACCCCAGUAGUC